UGUUCGUAAUCUUUGAUCGAUGGAGUC
rnacentral:piRNA from 1 species